rnacentral:rRNA from 1 species
AUUGAACGCUGGCGGCAGGCUUAACACAUGCAAGUCGAGCGAGCGGCGGACGGGUGAGUAAUGUCUGGGAAACUGCCUGAUGGAGGGGGAUAAAUACUGGAAACGGUAGCUAAUACCGCAUACCAUCAGAUGUGCCCAGAUGGGAUUAGCUAGUAGGUGGGGUAAUGGCUCACCUAGGCGACGAUCCCUAGCGGGGCUGAGAGGAUGACAGGCAAAACGGGACCUGGAAAAGGGUCCAGACUCAGACGGGAGGCAGCGGUGGGGAGUAUUGCACAAUGGGCGCAAGCCUGAUGCAGCCUGGCGGCGUGUGUGAAGAAGGCCUUGGGGUUGUAAAGCAUUUUCAGCGAGGAGGCGUUACUCGCAGAAGAAGCACCGGCUAACUCCGUGCCAGCAGCCGCGGUAAUAC